UUCAAUCAUCAAUAUACUUGAAAUUUCUAUUACUUGAGAAAUUAUAAUGUAGGAAUAUAAUAUUGGAAGUAACAAUUCAAUUUUAAUCAAUUAUGAUAUAUGGAAUUGAUGUUUGGUGUGUAGUUUGUUUUUUAAUAUGUUUUAUUGUACUUAUAUUAUUGACAUCGAUGAUUGUUUAGGCAUUUCCAAUUGUUUGGGCGUUGAUGAAGACACGAUCAUCAAAGGUAUAUGAUGCUCUUUUGGGAGAAGUAGAAAAUCAUUUCUCAAAUAUGAGACCGAAAGUCAUAAUCAGCGAUUAUGAAAAGGCAAUAAAGAAGCCUUUGAGAGAUAGAUUCCCAGAAAGUGAACACCGAGGCUGCUGGUUUCACUUCACUCAAGCUAUUGAGCGCAAUGCGCGUAAAAUAGGGAUAAGAAAACCUCCCAUGAAUGAAGAUGAUGACGGAUGGAGGGUGGCGAAACAGCUAAGAAACGGAGUAAUCGAGGGAUUCGCCGAGAACUAUAUUGAUAGUGCAAAAAACUGAUAGAAUACUUCAGGAGAGAGUGGUUGGUGAGGGUUACUCCUGAGUCGUUCUCAGUUCACGGCCAAGCUAACAGAACAAAUAAUGCACAAGAAUCCUUGAAUCGGUGUAUAAAUCGAGCAAUCAGGCCGCACGGAAGUGCCUGGGACUUUUGGAGUGGGCUGAUGCAAAUCACAACAAAAGAAAUGAAUUUUUUCAAUCAAUUGAGUGAAGGGCGUGAGUGCGCCAGAAAGAAGAAAAUAAAGUGGCUGCUACAAGACAGCAACAUCGUCAACCUGCAAACCAAACUCAACACCGGUGUUAUCACCGGUGCCGAAUUUCUCUCGGCUGCCAGUUUUAGGAUUGGUGAUACCGCCGUUGUGCAGGGGGCGGAUGAUGUGGAACUUGCACCAAUUUAAAAGAAUAUAUUCUAAGUUAUUUAUUUUGUUGUCCAAGUUGUUUUAGGUAGUUUAUAAUUUCUCAAUUAUUUUUCAUUCCAUAUAUAUUACAAUAAAUUACUUUAAAAAUGAA